GACGAACGCUGGCGGCGUGCUUAACACAUGCAAGUCGAACGAUGAACCGGUUUCGGCCGGGGAUUAGUGGCGAACGGGUGCGUAACACGUGGGCAAUCUGCCCUGCACUCUGGGAUAAGCCUGGGAAACUGGGUCUAAUACCGGAUACGACACUCCGAGGCAUCUUGGGGUGUGGAAAGUUCCGGCGGUGCAGGAUGAGCCCGCGGCCUAUCAGCUUGUUGGUGGGGUAAUGGCCUACCAAGGCGACGACGGGUAGCCGGCCUGAGAGGGUGACCGGCCACACUGGGACUGAGACACGGCCCAGACUCCUACGGGAGGCAGCAGUGGGGAAUAUUGCACAAUGGGCGAAAGCCUGAUGCAGCGACGCCGCGUGAGGGAUGACGGCCUUCGGGUUGUAAACCUCUUUCAGCAGGGAAGAAGCGAAAGUGACGGUACCUGCAGAAGAAGCACCGGCUAACUACGUG
rnacentral:rRNA from 1 species